AGGAUGAACGCUAGCGGCAGGCCUAAUACAUGCAAGUCGAACGGUCAGUAGCAAUACUGAUAGUGGCGCACGGGUGCGUAACACGUAACUAACCUACCUAUACCUGGGGGAUAGCCCGCCGAAAGGCGGAUUAAUACCGCAUAAGGCUUGAGACUGGCAUCAGUUUUUAGUAAAGAUUUAUUGGGUAUAGAUGGGGUUGCGGGUCAUUAGCUAGUUGGUAAGGUAACGGCUUACCAAGGCGACGAUGACUA
rnacentral:rRNA from 1 species